rnacentral:rRNA from 1 species
UACGUAGGGUGCAGGCGUUAAUCGGAAUUACUGGGCGUAAAGCGUGCGCAGGCGGGCUGCUAAGUCAGGUGUGAAAUCCCCGGGCUUAACCUGGGAACUGCGCUUGUAACUGGCAAGCUGGAGUGUGGCAGAGGGGGGUGGAAUUCCACGUGUAGCAGUGAAAUGCGUAGAGAUGUGGAGGAACACCGAUGGCGAAGGCAGCCCCCUGGGCUAACACUGACGCUGAGGCGCGAAAGCCAGGGGAGCAAACGGG